rnacentral:rRNA from 1 species
UACGUAGGGUGCGAGCGUUGUCCGGAAUUACUAGGCGUAAAGAGCUCGUAGGUGGUUUGUCGCGUCGUCUGUGAAAUUCCGGGGCUUAACUCCGGGCGUGCAGGCGAUACGGGCAAUACUUGAGUGCUGUAGGGGAGACUGGAAUUCCUGGUGUAGCGGUGAAAUGCGCAGAUAUCAGGAGGAACACCAAUGGCGAAGGCAGGUCUCUGGGCAGUAACUGACACUGAGGCACGAAAGCGUGGGGAGCAAACAGGAUUAGAUA